rnacentral:rRNA from 1 species
CCUACGGGUGGCUGCAGUGGGGAAUAUUGGACAAUGGGGGCAACCCUGAUCCAGCCAUGCCGCGUGUGUGAAGAAGGCCCUCGGGUUGUAAAGCACUUUCAGUGAGGAAGAACGCCUGGUGGUUAAUACCCAUCAGGAAAGACAUCACUCACAGAAGAAGCACCGGCUAACUCCGUGCCAGCAGCCGCGGUAUUACGGAGGGUGCGAGCGUUAAUCGGAAUUACUGGGCGUAAAGCGCGCGUAGGUGGCUUGAUAAGCCGGUUGUGAAAGCCCCGGGCUCAACCUGGGAACGGCAUCCGGAACUGUCAAGCUAGAGUGCAGGAGAGGAAGGUAGAAUUCCCGGUGUAGCGGUGAAAUGCGUAGAGAUCGGGAGGAAUACCAGUGGCGAAGGCGGCCUUCUGGACUGACACUGACACUGAGGUGCGAAAGCGUGGGUAGCAAACAGGAUUAGAUACCCCAGUAGUC